GAAUGCAGAUUUCGGUGCCACCCAAAUGUCUGCGCUGCUCUCUGAUGCUCCGAAAAGAAUGACAGGAGCAACAGAAACAUCGCUGCAUGUCACGCUAAAGGUAACUUUAGCCUACAGUUAGCUACAGUAGUAACUGGAUUCAACACGGUUAAAAUGCUGACGGCUAAACUGUGUAAAAGUGUGACUGUAUUUCACUGGAGAGGAUUCCAACACCAGAACGCUGCUAAAGCUAUGAGCUAAGAGACACAAACUAGCACGUGGUCACAGCGGUUGUCAGA